GCCAAGGUCAAGGCCCGGGCCCAAGCCCGCCGGUGUUGUCGAAAGUCCGAUUUCGGCCGCCGUCGCGUCGCCGUUGCGGUGAUUCGGUCUCCGCUUUUGUCAAGUGAGUUUUACUCACUAAAGCUUUCUUAGUUUGCUAAAUAUGCUUAGGGGUUGGUUAGAUUUAAUUAAAUGCAAUUAGGUGGUUAGAUUAGUUUAGAUCAAUUAAAUUAGAGACUUAAUGAUGCAUGUUAGGUGGUUAGAAAUAGACAUUAGCAAGUAGACAUGCCCUGUUAUUUAUGGAGCGAAUCUCGGUAAUUUUCCGGGCUUGUCUCGGAAUCCAAUUCGGCAUUAUAAGCCUAAAUUGGAUUUUUAUAAUUAUUUAUUUAAUUUUCGAAAUUAAUUAUUUAAUUAUUUAUUUUUCCGGAAAUUCAACCGGGAUGGCCGGUGACCGGAAUUUCGUGCUGAUUGUCGUGGUGCAGUCCGUUUAUUUAUUUGAGCUUUAUUUGGUGCUAAAGUAAUUUAUGAGUGAAUUUAAGAUUUAUUCCUAAAUUGAAUCUGGAGAGGGUGGGGUGGGACCGUAAAGCCACUAGUUCUUGAGAGGGUCGGGUGGGACCGUAAAGCCACUAGUUCUUGAGAGGUUCCGAUUGAUACGAAAUCGACUAGGUCGAUUCGAUCGAUGCUUCGAUCGGUGAUGUGAUUGUUUGAAUGCCUAUUGAACUGUACUAAUAUGCAGAUGGAAUCUGAGGCCAAGGUAAGUCCUCCAACUCGUGCCGUGUUUAGGCAGCCUAUAGUGUAUUGGCUUUCUAAUCGAGUCUUAGGGGGUAGGACUCGCUGAGACGUGGUCUCAUUGGUUAUUGAAUAACCAUUUCAGGACCCUGAGGAGAAGCUAAGGAAGGGGAACCUGAAGGGGAGAAAGUAUUUUGAAGUAGAAGAUGAUCCAGAGAGGGAUCUUGAAUAUAACCCGGAUGUGGAUUGAGAUCCCAUCCCUUUUGUGAACCCUGUCUUGGUAUAGAUAGGUGUGAGACUUUUAUGCUGUAAAUAGUAUUGUAAAUAUACUAUGAGUUGUGCUGUUAAUGAAAGUGUGGUUGUGAAUUUCAAUAUGAAAAAUAUGGCCUGCUUUCCUA
rnacentral:lncRNA from 1 species